rnacentral:rRNA from 1 species
CAGUCGCCGCGGGAAUACGUAGGGUGCGAGCGUUAAUCGGAAUUACUGGGCGUAAAGCGUGCGCAGGCGGUGCUGCAAGACCGAUGUGAAAGCCCCGGGCUUAACCUGGGAACUGCAUUGGUGACUGCAGCGCUGGAGUAUGGCAGAGGGGGGUGGAAUUCCACGUGUAGCAGUGAAAUGCGUAGAGAUGUGGAGGAACACCGAUGGCGAAGGCAGCCCCCUGGGCCAAUACUGACGCUCAUGCACGAAAGCGUGGGGAGCAAACAGGAUUAGAUACCCGAGUAGUCCCUGUCUCUUAUAC